UACGAAGGGGGCUAGCGUUGCUCGGAAUCACUGGGCGUAAAGGGUGCGUAGGCGGGUCUUUUAAGUCAGGGGUGAAAUCCUGGAGCUCAACUCCAGAACUGCCUUUGAUACUGAAGAUCUUGAGUUCGGGAGAGGUGAGUGGAACUGCGAGUGUAGAGGUGAAAAUUCGUAGAUAUUCGCAAGAACACCAGUAGGCGAAGGCGGCUCACUGGCCCGAUACUGACGCUGAGGCACGAAAGCGUGGGGAGCAAACAGGGAUUAAGAAACC
rnacentral:rRNA from 1 species